UUCGAAUCCAUAUGAAUCAAGGCUUCUUUUAUUUCUUUGAAAUAAUUAGUUUCCCUUGAACUAAUGAUGAAAACUAGGUUGGUUUGGUCCUUGACGCAGCAAUGGAAGAAGAGACUCGGAUACGCCAUUUACAGGUUGCCGAUGCAGCAAGAGCUUCUCUUGGAUUGCCUGUAUUGGAAUAUAUUGUGACGGACACCCCACUGGAGGUUGAGAAAUGGAUUGACCCGUAGAGUGGCCAAUCAACGGGGAAGAUUAAGCAUCCUGGUUCCUUGUUAAGAGCUGUGGAACCUCUAGUUAGCCAAUCAAAGGUCGACGCUGUUGCUGUUAUGCGGCACUUCCCUGAUGAUGAUGUUGGGUACAGUAAUGAUUAUCGACAAGGGAUGGGAAUAGAUGAUAUAGCUGGAGUUGAGGCCAUCAUAAGCCAUUUGGUAGUCAAGGAAUUUCAAUUACCUUGUGCUCAUGCCCCAGCAUUAUCACCCCUACCCCUAAGCACAUCUCUCCGUCCAAAAUCAGUGCAGAAGAGGUUAGUGCCACAGGAUUUAGACCGUCUAAUUAAAUGCACAAAUACUUUUUCUCUAACUUUUUUUCUGAGGUAUUAUUACAUCUAGUUAAUCUAUGAUGUCUUUCCAGUCCUCUUGCUCUGCCAUGUAAUAAAGAACUAAAGAGUCCAUUGGUUGAAACUGGUCAAAUUGUGAAGCCAAGGUCCUGAACUGUUAAAUGUGUUGCAACAACUUUAUGGCUAGGCUAACUAGGGGUUGCAUAAAUACUUGCCCUGAUUAUGGUCCACAUUGCAAUACCCUUUGUAAUUAACAGCAGAUUUCCAUGAUGUGCAUCUGCAUGUAAAAGUGCUCGACUUGUCCCCCCCCCCCCCAAAAAAAAAAAGCAAGAAAGUAAAAGGGCUGGUAAAUGUUGGCACAUUUGUUAUACCAAGAUGACAUACAGCUUUUGAGGGGAUCAUAAUGGUGCUUUCUCCGUCGAAAAGGUGAUCUACAUGUGUAACCUUUUGGUAUAGUGGAUGUACAUGCUUUGUAUUUCAGGAGUUCAGAUGCUUUUGCACUUUUCUUGAGUUUUUGUUGAUGGAAUCAUCUUAUCUAGAUCCAAUGGUGCUACCUGUUAGAGUCAGUCCGAUAACACAAAAUUGGUGAAUUAUGGUUUCUGGUUAUAGUAGCGCUGUGUUAUUCUCAGUUUGCUUUUGUUUUGAGUCGUUUGAUCCACUUUGUACUUGUAAACUACAACUUAAUUUGAGCGAAGUCUAAGAGUCACUCUGAA